AAUCCCCUUUUUCCUGGUCCCGUUUUUCAAAUUCUGAGACUAGGUUACGAUGAUGUAUGCUACGGAGCACCAAAAUCAACCAUAGAUAAUGUCAUCCCCAUCGUUGUUGCUACUCCCGGCCUCCGGAAUCAAGAACCGCCAACACCUUCACCUUGCUCCCAUUUCCAUUGAAGGUUCUGCUACUUAUGUCUAUCGACAAGGGCUUAGGUUGUCUGAGGAAGAAGACGCUGACAGGCAGAAUUGUUAGGACGAGACUUGAAGGGACUACAACACAUUCGACAUCUUGUUCAUUUACAACUUCCAAUAAGGUUGAUUCAGGUUGGAUUGUUGGGUAUGGCCGUAUGGGUAGAUGACUACAAAUGCAUCUCUAUCGGAUUUCUAAGGCUCUUGUGAAAGAACUGGGGUUGUUAAUUUGUGACAAAUACCCUUCCUGGUUUUGGAGAGAGUGAUCAGACACUAAAGCAACUGUGAAGUGUUUGACAUGGUAUCCAAGAGCUUGUUGAUCAUUUGAACAUGGGACCAAAGUUCUAUGUAGCUGCAUACUCUAUGGGUGGUAAAGCCAUCCGGUCUUGUCUUAAGUACAUCCUUUACAGUUUUCAUUAAAAUUUUGUAACUUUUAAAGGAUCAUAAUCACAUUAUUUUUGUAAAACUAUGAUAUAUAUAUUAUACAUACUUAUAAA